rnacentral:rRNA from 1 species
CCCUUAGAUGUUCUGGGCUGCACACGUGCUACACUGGCAGGUUCAGCGAGCUUCAUGCCCUGAUCUGAAAGGAAUGGGAAAUCUUUUCAAAACCUGCCGUGCUUGGGAUAGAUGUUUGCAAUUAUUCAUCUUCAACGAGGAUUGCCUUGUAAGCGCACGUCAUCAGCGUGCAUUGAAUACGACCCUGUAUUCUGCACACACCGCCCGUCGCUCCUACCGAUUGAAGUUUUCGGUGAGUUGACAGGAGGAUUUUUUUGAAACUGGUUCGCCAGUGGAUUUUAGAUCCAAAUGCCAACGAAUCGAUGGCUUUAGAGGAAGGAGAAGUCGUAACA